GGUCCAUUAGCUCAGUUGGAUAGAGCGGCUGCCUCCUAAGCAACAGGUCGCGCGUUCGAAUCGCGCAUGGGCCA
rnacentral:tRNA from 1 species